GAUGAACGCUGGCGGCGUGCCUAAUACAUGCAAGUCGAGCGAACGGACGAGAAGCUUGCUUCUCUGAUGUUAGCGGCGGACGGGUGAGUAACACGUGGAUAACCUACCUAUAAGACUGGGAUAACUUCGGGAAACCGUAGCUAAUACCGGAUAAUAUUUUGAACCGCAUGGUUCAAAAGUGAAAGACGGUCUUGCUGUCACUUAUAGAUGGAUCCGCGCUGCAUUAGCUAGUUGGUAAGGUAACGGCUUACCAAGGCAACGAUGCAUAGCCGACCUGAGAGGGUGAUCGGCCACACUGGAACGGAGACACGGUCCAGACUCCUACGGGAGGCAGCAGUAGGGAAUCUUCCGCAAGGGGCGAAAGCCUGACGGAGCAACGCCGCGGGAGUGAUGAGGGUCUUCGGAUCGUAAAACUCUGUUAUGAGGGAAGAACAUAUGUGUAAGUAACUGUGCACAUCUGGACGGUACCUAAUCAGAAAGCCACGGCUAACUACGU
rnacentral:rRNA from 1 species